ensembl:lncRNA
GCAGGAGAAACCCCCCGGUCCGGAGGUUCGCCCCGACUCUGCCCGGUGGGGAGCCUCUCCUUGCGUGCCUUUUUACUUUGCACAGAGCAAUCAUUGGCGCAAUGGCCUUUUUCCUGCCCACCUUCUUUCUCAGGAAGCUCCUCGGGGCAGCUCCAGGGCCCCUCACCUUGGGGGAGGUAGCCGGCAGGGCCCUGCGUGUCAGAGGCACAGGGAAGGUGGACUGAGUGAGUGGGGGAGUGAGGGAGCCAGAGGAACAGACGGACUUCCCGGGGCUGCAGGCUCCUGGCCUGGCCCAGCUCUCACUAGUGCUGUGUCCCUGCCCUGGGCCUCUGUUACCUUAGCUGGAAAUGAGAAGACUGGCUUAGGUCAUCUCCAAGGCGCCUUCCAGGGCUAGUACCCUGUGAAGAUCAGAUAAGCAUGCAGACGGGUAACAGGAUCCUUCCACUCCAGGACAGGCAGGAGCCUGUAAUUCCACAGGGGGCCGCGGGGUGGCAGGUGGGAAGGAGGCAGGCCCAUGCAGAGCCGCCUUGGCUUUGCAGAGCGAAGGGAGGGCCUGGAUUCUAUCCUCACUCAGGGUCAGUCUUUUCUCUAAACUGGGCAAUGUUAGAAGACUCAGGUGAAAGAGCAGCUCCCGCUUCCCAGGCUGCCUGCGGCCCCCAGAUGCAAAGCCAGCAGCAGGAGGCUUCAGGAGAGAUCGGCUGCCAGCUGUGAGCUUGAAGAGGGGACGGGCGGUGUUUUGACUCAUCCCUCUCCUCUCUCUACCACCCGUUUGGGUUGUGAGCCUCGGUCUGAAUUUCACUAGGAACCAAGAACUACAGGCUUUAGACGAUGGAUAAGAGAACCGCCCAUGGGGAGGACACCUAUCAGCUUCCUCUCAGACAAAAUAUUUUUGCUGGCUCCAACAGUCCCAGAGCGUUCUUAGCACUGGCACAAAAGAAAAGCCCUGCCCAGGUUCUGACGUCAUCAGGCUCGGGCAUGAAAGGAAAACAAGAUGACCCUGCUGGUGUGCUCCAGAGGAAGACCAGCCUUCAGAAAAAGAAACGUGGCCUUAGCUUGGAAAGUCAACUACAUUCAUAUGAUGUAUUUAACCAGACCCCUAAGAAGGCUUCCCUGGUAGCUCAGACAGUAAAGAGUCUGCCUGCAAUGCAGGAGACCCGAGUUUGAUCCCUGGGUCGGGAAGAUCCCCUGGAGAAGGAAACGGCAACCCACUCCAGUAUUCUUGCCUGGAAGAUCACAUGGAUGGAGGAGCCUGGCGGGCAGCACCCCAUGGGGUCGCAAAGAGUCAGACAUGGGUCAGCAACCAACACACACACACGUCACCCUAAGAAGCCUCCACGCGCUCUGCUGUGCAAACUGUGUCAGGCCCUGAAGACAGUCUGGGCCCUGGGACCGGCCGCAGCAGUGCUUGUACCUGACAGACGUCUCCUCGAGCAACAAAAUACAAAGAUACUGAAGGGCCGGGACUAAAAAUAGCUGCAGGCACGCCCAGCCGAGAAGGUUAUGAACAGCAAGAUGCAAAAAGGGCACUUCCGAGGCGCCGGAGCAAAGGCGGGUCCUGUGCAUGGUCUCUGCGCACAGCGCCCCGGGGGUGGGGGGGCAGACCACCUAAGCCACCCUCCAGUCUGCCCCACGCUCACCCCAUUUAAGGGGCCGGC